UGGCGGCAAGCUAACACAUGCAAGUCGAGCGGUAGAGAGAAGCUUGCUUCUCUUGAGAGCGGCGGACGGGUGAGUAAUGCCUAGGAAUCUGCCUGGUAGUGGGGGAUAACGUUCGGAAACGGACGCUAAUACCGCAUACGUCCUACGGGAGAAAGCAGGGGACCUUCGGGCCUUGCGCUAUCAGAUGAGCCUAGGUCGGAUUAGCUAGUUGGUGGGGUAAUGGCUCACCAAGGCGACGAUCCGUAACUGGUCUGAGAGGAUGAUCAGUCACACUGGAACUGAGACACGGUCCAGACUCCUACGGGAGGCAGCAGUGGGGAAUAUUGGACAAUGGGCGAAAGCCUGAUCCAGCCAUGCCGCGUGUGUGAAGAAGGUCUUCGGAUUGUAAAGCACUUUAAGUUGGGAGGAAGGGCCAUUACCUAAUACGUGAUGGUUUUGACGUUACCGACAGAAUAAGCACCGGCUAACUCUGUGCCAGCAGCCGCGGUAAUACAGAGGGUGCAAGCGUUAAUCGGAAUUACUGGGCGUAAAGCGCGCGUAGGUGGUUUGAUAAGUUGGAUGUGAAAUCCCCGGGCUCAACCUGGGAACUGCAUUCAAAACUGACUGACUAGAGUAUGGUAGAGGGUGGUGGAAUUUCCUGUGUAGCGGUGAAAUGCGUAGAUAUAGGAAGGAACACCAGUGGCGAAGGCGACCACCUGGACUGAUACUGACACUGAGGUGCGAAAAGCGUGGGGAGCAAAACAGGAUUAGAAGGUGGGGAUGACGUCAAGUCAUCAUGGCCCUUACGGCCUGGGCUACACACGUGCUACAAUGGUCGGUACAGAGGGUUGCCAAG
rnacentral:rRNA from 1 species